rnacentral:rRNA from 1 species
GRUUAGAUACCCCMCUAUGCCUAGCCUUAAACACAAAUAGUUGUAUAAACAAAACUAUUCGCCAGAGUACUACCGGCAAUAGCUUAAAACUCAAAGGACUUGGCGGUGCUUUACACCCUUCUAGAGGAGCCUGUUCUAUAAUCGAUAAACCCCGAUAAACCUCACCAUUCCUUGCUAAUACAGUCUAUAUACCGCCAUCUUCAGCAAACCCUAAAAAGGUACAAAAGUAAGCACAAUCAUAAUACAUAAAAACGUUAGGUCAAGGUGUAACCUAUGGAACGGAAAGAAAUGGGCUACAUUUUCUAAUCUAAGAAAAUCCAACACGAAAGUUAUUAUGAAAUUAAUAACCAAAGGAGGAUUUAGCAGUAAACUAAGAAUAGAGUGCUUAGUUGAAUUAGGCCAUGAAGCACGCACACACCGC